rnacentral:rRNA from 1 species
GACGAACGCUGGCGGUGUGCUUAACACAUGCAAGUCGAACGGUAAGGCCCUUUCGGGGGUACACGAGUGGCGAACGGGUGAGUAACACGUGAGUAACCUGCCCUCAUCUCUGGGAUAACAGUCGGAAACGGUUGCUAAUACUGGAUAUGAGCUUGCAAGGCAUCUUGUGGGUUGGAAAGAUUUUUUUUGGUUGGGGAUGGACUCGCGGCCUAUCAGCUUGUUGGUGAGGUAGUGGCUCACCAAGGCUUCGACGGGUAGCCGGCCUGAGAGGGCGACCGGCCACAUUGGGACUGAAAUACGGCCCAAACUCCUACGGGAGGCAGCAGUGGGGAAUAUUGCACAAUGGACGGAAGUCUGAUGCAGCAACGCCGCGUGCGGGAUGACGGCCUUCGGGUUGUAAACCGCUUUCAAUUGUGACGAAGCUUUUUUGUGACGGUAGCAGUAGAAGAAGCACCGGCUAACUACGUG